GUUUUUUAACUAUGAAAAGGCUGAUAUGAAAAGGCUGAUAUGUUUCAAUGUUUACUCAAAUAAGCAAUCUAAGAUGCUAUAGAGCUCUGUCAAAAAUAUUUUUUAAUUCAUUUUGUUUUUAUUGCAGCUAUUUUUUUUUUUUUUUGCCAGUAAGGUGGUUUGAAUCAGAAUGGCCCCUGCAGGCCCAUAUAUUUGAGUCCUUAGUGGGAAGCACAAUUUGGAAGGAUUAGGAGGUGUGGUCUUAUUGAGAUGUGGCCUUGUUAGAGGAAGUGUGUACUGAGGGUAGGCUUUGAGGUUUCAGAAGCCCAAGCCAUCCCUAGUAACUCUCUCCUCCUGAUGCCUAUGGAUCAAGAUGUAGAACUCGAAAUGACUUCUCCUACACCAUGUCUGUCUGCAUGCCAUCUUGCUUCCUGCCAUGAUGACAAUGGUCUAAACCUUCUGAAACUGCAAGGAAGCCCCAAUUAAAUGUUUUCCUUUAUAAGAGUUGCCAUGGUCAUGAUGUCUCUUCACAGCCAUAGAACACUGACUAAAACAGUCAAUUAUAACAAAUAAUAGCCACGUCUUUCACUUUCUUUUCAGGGAUUGCAAGGCAGGUUCAAACACAAGAUUCAACAUUUCCAUUUUAAAAUGGGUUUACACGCACCAUCUUUCCUAGGCAUUACUAGCUGCUAUGGUGGAUAAUCCUGUCCCUUAUAGUCACAGGCAUGAAUUUCUUAAGUUUCACAUGUUCCUUGGUGGUAACUGAAAGGAACAGUAUCUGCACAAGACACCCAAAGACUACAUUCUCAGCACAAAGGAGGUUUAUUUGUCCCAGAGGGACAAAGGACUGCCUCUGAAUAGAGAGGAGACAGGCAUGGCCCAUAGGCAAAUGGCAGUUUAUAAAGGUCAAGGGGGAAACCAUGAGUUAGGAUGAGUUGUUUAAUGUUUGUUUGUUUGUUUGUUUGUUUGUUUGUUUGUUGAGACAGGGUUUCUUUGUGUAGCCCUGGUUCUCUUGGAACUCUCUCUGUAGACCAGGCUGUCCUCAAACCACUAACCUCUGCCUCCUGAGUGCUGGGAUUAAAGCACCACUGCCUGACUUGAGUUGGUUAAUUUUCUUUAGACAGGUUAAUCAGGGUAGCCACAAGGGAGCUUUUAAAUCCUGGACUUUAAUACUUGGAUAGCUGAGCCUUGGUAGUCGGCUUCAAGGGGAAGAAGUGGCCAAAUAAGGGAUUAGGCCUUGGUGGCUGGCUUCAGGAAUGUAAUCUACUGCUGUAAGCAAGGUAGAAGGAAUUUGAGAAAGGCAAGCCUGUGAGAACCAUGUUUAGUAUUCUCAAAUCUGUUAGAGUCCUUUCAGUGACAGUAUAGCUAUUUACAACAUAUGUUUACUAAAGCAAACAUUGAUCCAGGACAUGAAUGUUUAUAGUUUUGCCUUGUCUAGCUACAGUUUUCAAUUAGUUUGAAGAGUUUUAUUUGCAACACUAUCCUAAGUAGAAAGAUAAGAAAGGCUGUGAUGACUAUCAGCACCCUAGGCUCUUAUUUCAAUUUUUAAAAAGUCUAAAAUAACACUGUUCCAAAUUCUGUACAUAGCUUCUGUGCUUUCCAAAAGACAUACAAGUUAUUGAACAAAUUAAGGCAAAUGAAUUGUGCAAGUGAUGUAGCUCAGUCUGUGUUGAUAUUUUGUUUGUGAUCUAACAAAUAAAGCUUGCCUGAAGAUCAGAGUGCAGAACUAAGCCACUAGCUAGCCAUAGAGGCCAGACAGUGAUGGCACACAACUUUAAUCCCGGCACUAAGGAGACAGAGGUAGAUGGAGCUCUGUGAGUUCAAGGCCACCAUGGGCUACACUAGACUGAUCCAGUCUCAAAUAGAAACAGAGCUCACAGUUUUAAUCCCAGUGCUUGGGAGGUGGAGACAGGAGUGAUAUUGUUGAGUGGAGAGAGGAAUAUAAGGCAGGAGGAGACAGGAGCUCAUUGCCUUCAGUCUGAGAAUUCGUAGGGACAGAAUUGCCCUUUUAGUUUGAGGAUUCAGUAGAGGUAAGAACUAGUGGCUGGCUGCUCUGCUGCUCUGAUCUUUCAGCAUUAACCCCUAUGUCUGACUCAAAAUUUUCAUUAUUAAGACCAAUUAGAAUACAAGCUAGGGUGGUCCUUUAAUACUCAUUUUUUUCCAGAUCUACAAAACAAUAAAGGGUACUGGAGAAGAAAGGUAAUCAUCAAUAUUGCCCAGCUAUAAGCCUGCAACAGUGGCAUGCCUAUAAGAUAUACUAGUGCAAUCAUGGCACAAACAGUAAGGGAGUAACCAAUCACUUUUUACUUGGACUCAAGACCCAGUAUCUGAUGGAACUCAUAUCGGACACUGCUAAAGUGGCCAGGAAACUGAGCCUAGAUGGGUCAGGGAGGUAUGGGAACAUCUAUUCUACUAUUUUACUAAAGAAUCAUAGCAAUAAAAUGACUUGUAAGGACAUGCUGCUAUAUCUAUAGGCCAAUGGCUCACUCAACCCACAACAGAGAAGCUUCUUGAAGUGUAGGAGAAUUAACAAAGAGACCCACAACUGGACAGUGUGUUGAGAAUGAGAAACUUAGUUCUAAAUGGGAUACCUUAAUAAAACCCCUUUCUCAAGGCUCAGGGAUUUAUACAGACAAGGAGGCAGAAAGAUUAUAAGAGCCAGAGAUGAUGAAUGACUCCAAGGAAUAGUACCUUCUAGACACGAUAGGACUAUUGCUAAUAUGAACUCACAGACACUGUGUCAGCAUGCAUAAGACCUGCACAGGUACAAGCCACAUGGGGUCUCAUCACUGACAAGAGGAAGUGGACAAAUCGUCCUGGGCCUAACAGAAGCUAUCACAAUUGAUAUCCUCCUGGCAAAGGGAAAAACCUGCUUUCUCCAAUGGGGUUUACUGAAUUUAUCAACCAUACUUCAGGGUAGACCCUAUGUCCAGGAGUAGCUUGUCAAUACAAAACAAACUCAAUGGUAUUUUUGUGGACUUUUUGUUUCAUUUUGCUCUGUUUGGGAUUUUUUUCUUUUAUUGGUCUUUUGCUUGUCUGUUUUUGUGUUCUGUGGUUUCUUUUUUUUUUUUUUUUUUUGGUUCUGUUUGAAAUUUUUUUCAAAAAAGAAAAAAGACAACUUAAACCCUGGUAAAAAUAUUUUUGGGGCCUGUGAGGAAGACUGGACUAACAAAGUCUUCAGAGAGCCUUGCAUUCAGACUGGUACCCUUCCAGAUAUGUAGCCCCAGUUAUUUUUGCUGGUGGCAUCAAGAAAAACUUCAUGUGGAAUGUGCAUCUGUGUCCAGGCCACAGCUUUCUUCCUUCACAGCCUUCUGAAACUCAGUCUCAGCUACCAUAGCUCAGAAGAAGUAAGGCAGCCAUUCAGAGACUGGCUUCUUCCCAUUAUUUCGGUAAGACAUCUCAAAGUAUUGGUUUAAGUAACAAUUAACAUUUCCACUACUAAGAAAUAUCUAUGCUGUACUGUAGCCUCAAACUCAGUUUUAACACCAGUUCAUGAUCCUGAAACACACAUGGCAAUCAUUCAACUAACAUAUCAUAAACAAGUAAUGGACUUCGGCAUCAUCAUAAGUAAUGAUUAAUGGCCAUCUCAAAAUAGUGUAGAAGAGCAUUAAACUGUUUUUCUUCAUUAUGUCUUUGAGUUUUUUGAGGUUAUAAUAUAAUUAUAUCAUUUCCCCCUUUCCUUUCCUCCCUCCAAGCCUUCCCAUACACUGGUCUUUAUUCUUUCAAAUUCAUGGCCUCUCUCUUCAUUAAUUGUUGUUACAAAACAAACAUACAAGUGAAAUUAUACAUACUGAACAUGCUGUAUUUACACAUAUAGGAAUUUAUGUUUGUGAACAUAAACUGUUUCUUUUAAUGCCUAUCAUGUAAUACCAUGGAAAUAUUCCAAACUUAGCACUCUCAAGCUUCUUAGAAUCUCCAUAUGACCAAAGUUUACAUCUCAACACUCUCAGGCAGAGCUAUGCACUGCCCUCCUCACUGCACUUUACUCUGGUGAUAAACCCACAAAACUAUAGAAUAUAAAUUAAUUUGCAGACUGGGUAUUUUGCCAAGGUAACAAAUCCAACUGUGUUGUCACUCCCUUGGGGCAAUCUUUAUCCUAAUGUUUCUUUGUGAGCUAAUUAUGCAUGUGUCUUUGUUUCUCUUCUUUCAAAUGAAAGAGAUGCUUUCUACAGAUGAGUGUAAUGUGAGGACUAUAAAAUAUCAGAACAAGAAGAAAAAGUCAGGGCUUUCAGUGUAUCCAUGAGACAAUUGAGGACCAUAGUUAGCACAGCUCUGUGAUACUAGACAGCUCCCAAAGCUUAGUUUACUGCACAUCCUUGGCUCGAAAUGUCCAUUGUGAACAAGCCAAACUAAAGUGCCAUUGAAUUUCUGACUGACCAGUGGCAGAAAACAGUAGAUAUCUGAACUGAUGAGUGAAAGAGAAAGAGCAUAUGACAAUAUUUGCCAAAUAACCCCUAUGGAGAUGAUUUUAUCAAUGUAUUUAAAUUUUCUUCCUAAAAUUUACCAUAUACCUUUAUGGUAAUAAGAUAAUAAUAACAUUGAAAAUAUCAACUCCAUUCUUUAGAUGGAAAACAAGUGAUGAAUACUGCUAAAAACCAUUAGCCAGACAAAGCCAUGUUAAGUUGUGUUAGUAGAGAAAUGGGGUUAUUAUUAUCAUUAGCAGCAGCAGCAAAGCAGCAUUCUCUCAAGCAUUGCAGUCCAACUGCAGUUUCCCCAUCCUCCACUCCUCCCAGUUCCUCCCCGCCACACCCCUUCUUCCCCUAAUCCUCUCCUCCAGAGAAAUGGCGUUAUUUAAUGAAGCAUGUUUCAACAAUAAAUAACAACAAUAAAAGAAAUGAUCUGCUGGUUAGCUGCAAUGGGGCAUUCCACUCAUAUCUCAAAGAACUGGGAAUUAAAAUUCAAACUAUUUAAUUGUUGGUAUGUAAGUUAAAAGUUAUAAAGUGUUUAAAGGAUAAAGGAGGCCACUAUAAUGGCCAUAAAUUUUAAAAUGGUCUCACUUCUAGUGCAAAUAAGGGAAGCAAAUAAGUGCCACAUUUCUUAUGCAUUCAUUUGGUGUCCCUGCUGAAUAAUAAUGUAGAUGCUGAGACUCCCACAGAGCUGUAACGCUUCAGGGAGAAUUUACUCCAGAAACUGCGGUUGAUUAUUUUCACAGGAAACACUGGCAUGAAUGAAGAGCUGACCUCCCUAGGAAUUGCCACGGUGUGUACAGCCCAAGCUUGAGGGAUAGUAUAAGCUGAUUGCUUUUAUUCACAAAACUCACAUGUUGAAAUACUAAAAGUACGUGACGAUGUUAUUAGGAGAGGCCUUUGAAAGGUAAUUAGGAUGUGGGAGCCAGUAGUUCAUAAAUGUAGUACCCUCAUUACAGGAACUGUAAGCUGGGGCUUCUAACUUGCCGGUAGACCUCUUGCCUUACAUGUACAAGGUCUUAGUUUCAACCUUAAAAAACAGCAGAUAAAUGUGUUAAGUGGAAUCUCCGAGAGAUAGCUUCCACCAAGUGAGACACAGUUAGAAGGCACCCUGUGUGAACCGAGACAUGGACUUUCACCAGUUACUAAAUAUGCUAGCACACUGCUUAGCAGCUUUCAGAACAGUGAAAAAUAAAUUUCUAUUGUUUAGAAUCCACAGUCUAUCUCAUUUUUCUGUAGUAUUCCAAGGGGAUUAUAAUAAGCUCCAGCUUUAGGAUGAACAAAUAAUUGAAUUCUCAAUAUGUAGUGAGCCACUGAAGAAGAGCAAAGGUCAAUGCCCAAGGAUGAGUCCCAAAUGAAGCCUGGCACAAACAUGGGGGACUUCUGAAAUGAGCUCCCAUCCAAAGCGGAAACAAGAGGAAGCAAGGCUAGCACAUUGUUGACCACUGUAUACACCACGGCGUGGACAAAGCUGACCCCUCAGAACUGCCCGUCCUCUCCCGCUUCUCCAAGUCAACAUCAGCUUCUGUUAGUUGCUCAGCUGAACAAAGCCUAACCCUACAAGUCCAUGGUUCUGUGCCGCCUAGGAGUCUCUUUCUCUGAUCAUCAUCAUCAUCAUGCCUUCCCAAAAUAUCAAUCUUAUCACCUGUAAUAUAUACAAGGAAACAGUACCACUAUUUUCUCAAUGUUCUAUUGAUAAAAUGAGUUAACACAUUUGCAUCAUGUAUUUGAUGUCUAGUACAUAGUUUGCUUUUUAGGAAAAAUGGAUAAUUGAUAUAAAAUUUUUCUUCUUCAGCCAGGCAUGACAGCACACACCUUUAAUGCCAGCACUCAGGAGACAGAAGCAGACAUUUGGGGGGGGGGGGUAAUUUUGAGGCCAGCCUAGACUACACAGUGAGGUAUUUUUGUUUUUUGCUUUGUUUUGUUUCAGGUUUUGGGUUUGGUUUUUUGAGACAGGGUUUCUCUGUGUAGCCUUGGAGGCUGUCCUGGCACUCACUCUGUAGACCAGGCUGGCCUCGAAAUCACAGAGAUCUGCCUGCCUCUGCCUCCCAAGUGCUGGAAUUAAAGGCAUGCACCAUCAAUGCCCUGCUACACAGUGAGUUUUAGGAGAGCUAAGGCUACAUAGAGAAACUUUGUCUCAAAUUAAAUAUUUCCUUUGUUAAGUAAAAUAAAAGUUUUCUCCAAAGGUUAAUCAAUUCUGCUGAUAUAUGUGAACAUAUUCCAAACUGUCCAUAUAUUAAUUUAAAAAUUAAUGGUUUACCAAGGAGAAGUCAACCAACUGGAGGAAAUAUGGGAAUGAGAGGGAAAUGGGAAAUCUAAUGUACUGAAAGAACACAAUAUUCAUUUGUGAAAAUGUCAGAAUGAAGUCCAUUGUUACUAUUCUGUUGUCUAAAACACAUUAAGGUAGUGCUGUCUGUUUGGAUUAAAACCUGUUAAUUAUUAAAAUAAACACUGUAUUUAGCUUUCUUAUUAAAGUUGAUAUAAAUGCUUCA
rnacentral:lncRNA from 1 species